GGUAGAGUGAGCUCUAAUCCAAUAUUACUAGCUUCUUUAUAAGAAGAGGAAACUAGUAAUGUUGGAUUAGGGCUCACUCUACU
ncrna:Homo sapiens (human) microRNA hsa-mir-3923 precursor